rnacentral:rRNA from 1 species
UACGUAGGAGACGAGCGUUGUCCGGAGUUACUGGGCGUAAAGGGUGCGCAGGUGGCGGCGCGCGUGGGGGGUGAAAUCGCCCGGCUUAACUGGGCGGGGGCCUUCCAGACGGCGUGGCUUGAGCAGCGGAGGGGGACGUGGAAUUCCCGGUGUAGCGGUGAAAUGCGCAGAUAUCGGGAGGAACACCGGUGGCGAAGGCGGUUCUCUGGGCCUUACCUGACGCUGAGGAGCGAAAGCGUGGGGGAGCGAACAGG